rnacentral:lncRNA from 10 species
AACCUGAAUCAAAUAUAACUAUAGGAGGUGCCUUUUGGACAAUACAGAGGCCAUGCUCAAGGAACACAAAAGGAACUGAAGUUGUGUGGAUUACAAGAGAGUUCGAUGUGUUCUAAAUUCAUUAUGUUGUGUAAGCAGAAGCUGGAAGACCCUUGAAAAGAGCAUUCAUUCAAGAAAUGAAGCAUGAGAUAGGAUGGAAGGAGGGAAGAAAGACAAGCAUAUGGCAUAUCAGGUCUCUUCCAGUGCUAAAGGCUGCCUAUGAUACUCAUCUGACCUGAUUUCUCCUGCACAGUGUUGCAACUGACGAGUAGCAGACUUGCCCUUGCCUGCAUUUGGGGGGAUGGCUGAGACUUUCCUUACAGAAAGCCCUACUUUCAGCAUGAACACUAACCCAGUUUAUUGGCUCAGGGUGUAGAGAGUUGCCUUGUCACUGGCGAAGUCAGAUGCAGCCAGUACCAGAGCUCUGCACUAGCUGUGAACACUAAGGAAGAAUAGCUGAGUGAGGAAGCAGAGUGCCAGGCAGCACAUCCUUCUUCAGGUGUUUCCUGCCCUGGGCCAGAUCCCAGGCACUGCAGCAAUAUCUCUGCAUGAUCUAGGGCUCCUGGAAAUAGCCCAUUAAGGGCAAAACUCGCUGCCCAGAAAACAUUAGAACAUUAAAAGAGCAGGGUCUCAUCUGAUUGUCUUGGUUUCCUGAGGCUCAUUCAGUCUGUGUCCACUGGUUUCAGUCUGAGUUCUCUGCACUUUGAGGAUGCAGACAGUGAAGUUCUCCCAUGGUUAUAGGGGGAGAGAUCAUAGGAAUGCUAUGGAAAGAGGCCUGAAGUCAGAGCCAGCUAGUGGUUAUUAUUUAUUAAUUGCCUGUGAGGUGCCAGGCGCACAUAUUAGACCAUAUGUGAUUGCAGUGAGCCACCCGGAUCCCCUUCAAGCUGCUGCUGCAGCUGAUGGAAGUCCUAUUGGCAGACAGCCUUCUCUCAUCAGCCCCUUCAGGACUUGCCUCAGUUGCAGAGAGCUGCCUUCCCCAAGAUCACACCCUUCCCUGGGGACUCACAACCAAUGGCUGAUCCAGAAGAAUCCAUAAAGCCCGUAUCAUUUCAGCCCAAUUUAGGACAGCUUUGUUGAGCCAUUAGACCUACAUGCAGCCCAACCUCUCCUUCUACCCACUUCUUCUUUCUUCCCUUUCCUUCCACGGUGUCUGUUCCAAGCACUUGCCUUAAUAAACAUGUAACAGGUUAAACUCUGUCUCGAUGUCUGCUUCAAGGAGAACCCAACCUGUGACAGUGAUAACAGAUAAAAACAAAGGACAUCACUUUUCCCUGCCUUACUUUCCAUUUACCACUAAAAAGGGUCUUGGACUUGCCCACUCAGUUUCUUCUCUUUCUUCACUCUUUGGAGAUGGUCCCUCCACUACCACAGACACAAAAAAGAAGAGUUGGGAAGAGAGAGGGGUGAAAACAUUUGGGGCACUGCAGGCCUAGUGCUAGGUGACUGAAGACUACCUGGAGGGUGCAGGAAGUGACUGUUUCUCCAUCAUGUAUUGUAUUGCUAUAGUGACUUAAAAAACAAGUAGGUGAUUUGUGUUUUUUUGGUUUUUUUUUGUUUUUUUGGUUUUUUUUUUGAGACAGAGUCUCGCUCUGUCACCCAGGCUGGAGUGCAGUGGCGCUAUCUUGGCUCACUGCAAGCUCCACCUCCUGGGUUCAC